GAGUAGGAAGAGGAGGAAGAGGAGGAAGAGGAGGAGCUGAUCUGUCCCUGAUCUCUAAAGAGACUCAAACUUCCUCCUUCAGCUCAGCUCAACUCUCCAACAUUAACUCUGCUCAACAUGCUGUCUCUGCUCACAUCUGGAUUCACUCUGCUGGUUCUGAUCACUGGAUCAGGUGUAAACUGUCAACAACUCACUGCAGCGAAGACUGAGGAGUUCAGUUCAGAGGGCAGCUCUGUUACUCUGACCUGUAGUUACACCAAAGAUUCAGCUAAUUAUUUAUUCUGGUAUCGACAAAAUCCAGGAGAACCUCCAGAGUUCCUGAGGUCUCACUCACCUUCAGGUGGAUCAGAACAUCUGGACAGGAUGACAUUUAAAGGAAGCAAAGAAGAAAUGUCCAUGACGAUCUCCUCUGCUGCAGUGACAGACUCUGCUGUGUACUACUGCGCUGUGCAGCCCACAGUGACAGGAAACACCAGAACCCUGUACAAAAACCUGCAGUUCUCCACAGCAGCCACCAGGGGGCGCCAUGCUCCAGUAGGCGGCGCUCUCCUUGUGCUCUGUGUUCCAGCAUUGUGUCAAUAAGAAGUGGUGCUGUGAAGAGAACAAUAGUCAGACUGAAUGUUGAACAUCAGCU